rnacentral:rRNA from 1 species
AACUAACGCUGGCGGCGCGCCUAAUACAUGCAAGUCGAACGAUGUAGCAAUACAUAGUGGCGCACGGGAGAGUAACACGUGGAUAAUCUCCCCUCGAGAGAAGAAUAACUAGUCGAAAGAUUGGCUAAUACUUCGUAAGACCACAGAAACAAAUGUUUCAGGGGUAAAAGUCGUAAGACGCUUGAGGAUGAGUCUGCGUCCCAUUAGCUAGUUGGUGAGGUAAUGGCUCACCAAGGCUUCGAUGGGUAGCUGGUCUGAGAGGAUGAUCAGCCUCACUGGAACUGACACACGGUCCAGACUCCUACGGGAGGCAGCAGUAGGGAAUAUUGCACAAUGGAGGAAACUCUGAUGCAGCGACGCCGCGUGAGUGAUGAAGGACUUCGGUUUGUAAAGCUCUGUUGUCAGGGAAUAAAAAAUGAAUGUACCUGACGAGAAAGGACCGGCUAACUUCGUGCCAGCAGCCGCGGUAAU